rnacentral:rRNA from 1 species
GUUUGAUCCUGGCUCAGAGCGAACGUUAGCGGCAGGCUUAACACAUGCAAGUCGAGCGACAAAGGGGCUUCGGCCCUGAGUAGAGCGGCGGACGGGUGCGUAACACGUGGAUAAUCUGCCUCGUGGCGGGGGAUAACAGUCCGAAAGGACUGCUAAUACCGCAUGUCAGGUCGGAAACCCUGGUUUCUGACGAAAAAGAGGGCGCCCGCAAGGGGCUCUCACCACGAGAUGAGUCCGCGGCCCAUCAGCUAGUUGGCGGUGUAAUAGACCACCAAGGCUAAGACGGGUAGCUGGUCUGAGAGGAUGACCAGCCACACUGGGACUGAGACACGGCCCAGACUCCUACGGGAGGCAGCAGUGGGGAAUAUUGGACAAUGGCGAAAGCCUGAUCAGCCAUGCCGCGUGAGUGAUGAAGGUCUUCGGAUCGU